GACGAACGCUGGCGGCGUGCUUAACACAUGCAAGUCGAGCGGUAAGGCCCUUUCGGGGGUACGACGAGCGGCGAACGGGUGAGUAACACGUGGGUGACCUGCCCUCAGCUCUGGGAUAAGCCUGGGAAACCGGGUCUAAUACUGGAUAUGACUCCAUGACGCAUGUUGGUGGGGUGGAAAGCCUUGUGCGGCUGAGGAUGGGCCCGCGGCCUAUCAGCUUGGUUGGUGGGGUGANGGCCUACCAAGGCGACGACGGGUAGCCGGCCUGAGAGGGCGACCGGCCACACUGGGACUGAGACACGGCCCAGACUCCUACGGGAGGCAGCAGUGGGGAAUCUUGCGCAAUGGGCGAAAGCCUGACGCAGCGACGCCGCGUGAGGGAUGACGGCCUGGUUGUAACUACUU
rnacentral:rRNA from 1 species